rnacentral:rRNA from 1 species
GACGAACGCUGGCGGCGUGCUUAACACAUGCAAGUCGAACGAACAGACCCUGCUUUUGUUGGGUGCUCGAGUGGCGAAGGGGUGAGUGACACGUGAGUAACCUGCCCUUGACUGAGGGGUAACAUCAGGGAACUGGGGCGCAUACAGGGUAUGAGCUCCUGCUGCAUAGGGGUGGAUGGAGAAUGUCGGCGGUUGGGGCUGUAAUCGCGGGAUAUUCGCCGGAUGGGGGGGUAGUGGCUUACCACGGCUUUGACGGGUAGCCGGCCUGAGAGGGUGACCGGCCACAUUGGGACUGAGAUACGGCCCAGCCUGCUACCGGAGGCAGAAGUGGGGAACAUUGCACAAUGGGCGGAAGCCUGAUGCAGCAACGCCGCGUGCGGGAUGCCGGCCUUCGGGUGGUAAACCGCUGUCGCCUGUGACGAAGCGUGAGUGACGGUAAUGGGUAAAGAAGCACCGGCUAACUACGUG